UAUGGACGUGGUGGUUUUUUUAACAGUAAAAUAUUUGUUUAAAGCAUCGAACGAAUCCAAAACGUAUUUUGGAUUGUGUGUUUGCCAUGCAUAACACCUUAAGAACAGACACUGGAAGUGUAUAUCGUUGUAACUUUAUUGUUAUUAGCAUUGGAUUAAAGUUGCCUUUGAGAAACCACAUGUUGACCUUCGGCCGACUGAAACUUCCAAACGCGCAACUGUGACGGGUCACCGAUAAAAGGCAAUACAACAACCGCAUAGUCACAGAGCUUGGCAUAUCCAGGAAGGAGAUACUCGACUGUAGGCGAGGCCAAAUCCACAUCAUCUGAGAUAUCCAUUUUAUGACGGAUCAGUCGGAUGCAAUCGAAACUGCAGCAGUGAACUUCGAUUGGAUGUUUGCGGAGUUCGCUCAAAGGAAGGGUCAUACGAGAUUCCGAGUUUGGAAUGUUUACAGUGGCAUUCGAUUCAUCGGCCAAGACUCGAUGUGUGUAAGGUUGCCCAAACACGUUCUUCUUGUUCGUCUGAGAAAUUACACCGGUUUGAGUCUCGGAAUCAACAAAGUGGUCAGAUAUUUCAUUUAAGAAAUAAACACGGCAGGUAGGUGCAGACUCGACAUCAAUAUUCGUGUUAGUAUCGCCCAACAAACAGUUCAUGGGUUGAGUUUUAUUUUUGCUUUGUGAAUUCACUGAGUACUUUUUAAUUCCAGUGUAACUUCUUAAGUUAAUGCAUCCUUUGAUGCGCGUGCGCAAUUCAAGUCUAUACAAAUAUCGUCUAUGUAGCACGAAUAA